GUGUCAGCAGCCGCGGUAAUACGUAGGGGGCGAACGUUGCUCGGAAUUACUGGGCGUAAAGGGUGUGUAGGUGGCUGAGCAAGUCGAAGAUGAAAUCCCAGGGCUCAACCCUGGAAUUGUCUUUGAUACUGUUCAGCUUGAGGGUGGUCGAGGAAGACGGAAUUCCCGGUGGAGCGGUGAAAUGCGUAGAUAUCGGGAGGAACACCGGAGGCGAAGGCGGUCUUCUGGGCCACUCCUGACACUGAGGCACGAAAGCUAGGGGAGCGAACGGGAUUAGAUACCCCGGUAGUCCUAGCCGUAAACGAUGGGCACUAGAUGUUCCCACAUUUUGUGGGAGUGUCGAAGCUAACGCGUUAAGUCCGCCGCCUGGGGACUACGGCCGCAAGGCUAAAACUCAAAGGAAUUGGCGGGG
rnacentral:rRNA from 1 species